rnacentral:rRNA from 1 species
UGGGGAAUUUUGGACAAUGGGCGAAAGCCUGAUCCAGCAAUGCCGCGUGUGUGAAGAAGGCCUUCGGGUUGUAAAGCACUUUUGUCCGGAAAGAAAUCCUUGGCUCUAAUACAGUCGGGGGAUGACGGUACCGGAAGAAUAAGCACCGGCUAACUACGUGCCAGCAGCCGCGGUAAUACGUAGGGUGCAAGCGUUAAUCGGAAUUACUGGGCGUAAAGCGUGCGCAGGCGGUUUGCUAAGACCGAUGUGAAAUCCCCGGGCUCAACCUGGGAACUGCAAUGGUGACUGGCAGGCUAGAGUAUGGCAGAGGGGGGUAGAAUUCCACGUGUAGCAGUGAAAUGCGUAGAGAUGUGGAGGAAUACCGAUGGCGAAGGCAGCCCCCUGGGCCAAUACUGACGCUCAUGCACGAAAAGCGUGGGGAGCAAAACAGGAUUAGAUACCCUGGUAGUCCACGCCCUAAACGAUGUCAACUAGUUGUUGGGGAUUCAUUUCCUUAGUAACGUAGCUAACGCGUGAAGUUGACCGCCUGGGGAGUACGGUCGCAAGAUUAAAACUCAAAGGAAUUGACGGGGUCAUAGCUGUUUCCU